AGUGCGGAAUGGAGGCGGCGGAGGAAGGCUGUGAGGGGCGCCCAGCCGUGUGCCUUGGCCUUUCCUCCCCACGCCCCGCUUGCCUCCCAGCUUUUCCCUGGGAGUCGCAACGCCAUUCGUCCCCCCUCUCCUCCCCGCGCUGCCAGACUCACUCGGAGCCACCAACGACCUGGGAGGUGAUGGCAAGCAGCGGGUUGGAAGCCUCGCUGGCAGCUCCAGACUUAGGGAUCCGAGCUGCUUUGGGAAGAAUGGAGAGCUGAGGGCAUGAGGGUCGUCCACCUCCUGGCUGAAAGGGGGCGUCUUAUCUUUCCCCCCAGCACAGGUGUUGGUUAGGCUGGGGAUAUCCACGCUGGAUUGGAUGGUCCCGGGGCUCCCGUGUGAGCUCAGAAGGGAUCUUUUAUCUCGGGAAAACGUGUCCCAUUCGGAGCUGGGGAUGCCCUCUAGGCUGGGUCCUGCUUCUUCAAGACCCAGAGCAGCCCUGCGGCCCUCCUACCCGCCAUGUGCCCGAGGCUGUUCACCGGCAAACUCGCUGGGCCGACUGCGCCCCAGAGCCGCUGUCCAAAUGCUGAAUCUGGCCUCCCCUGGGCUGGCUCCCGACGUCCCGCUGCCUAUGGCUCCGCGUUUCCCUCAGGGGCAGGCAAGGGGUUCUGGGACGCACAACGCGGAGGCCCCAGGAAACUUUGGGGCUCCAAGAUGACAUUGGAAAGCUUCAGGAUAGGGGGCGAUCGGUCGAAGGGAGACAGAAGCCAAGAGAGCAGGCAGAGCAGCGCGCCUGGCACGCCGAACCACGCGCCCUUGAUGACUCGCCCCGGGUCCCCUCCGCCCGCCCGUGUGUGUUUCUCCCACUUCCACAGUAGGGGAGGUCCCUAGGCUGAACUUGUCAGCGGGUCUCACCAUUCAUCACGAGCCAGACAGACAGGCCAAGUUCAUGAGCAAUACUGUUAACCCCUUGCAAGCCAAGCACCUCUCACAGGAGGAAGCCUCCUGGCCAGGGAGCGUUCUCUAAGGUUCCAGAGGCACUGCCUCCCAGGAACGUGGCAGCCACCGCUCCUUUCUUCUUUUCGGCUCGUCUCCUAACCAUUUAUUCCGUCAUUUUAUUUACACUUUUGGUUUCCACAGUCUUUCAAGUUCCUUCUCUUCUAAGUUAGUUUGAUACCAGUAUAACUGACUGCCUUUUAAAUGUCUUCUUUUCCUACGUUGUGGCUGUGUUCAUUGUGGAAACAUUAGAAAAUUUUGAAAAAAUGAAAUAAAAUAAUAAUUGGCCC
ensembl:lncRNA novel transcript